AGUGAACGCUGGCGGUAGGCCUAACACAUGCAAGUCGAACGGCAGCACAGUAAGAGCUUGCUCUUACGGGUGGCGAGUGGCGGACGGGUGAGGAAUACAUCGGAAUCUACUUUUUCGUGGGGGAUAACGUAGGGAAACUUACGCUAUUACCGAAUCAGCCCUACGGGUGAAAGCAGGGGAUCUUCGGCCUUUGCGCGAUUGAAUGAGCCGAUGUCGGAUUAGCUAGUUGGCGGGGUAAAGGCCCACCAAGGCGACGAUCCGUAGCUGGUCUGAGAGGAUGAUCAGCCACACUGGAACUGAGACACGGUCCAGACUCCUACGGGAGGCAGCAGUGGGGAAUAUUGGACAAUGGGCGCAAGCCUGAUCCAGCCAUACCGCGUGGGUGAAGAAGGCCUUCGGGUUGUAAAGCCCUUUUGUUGGGAAAGAAAAGCAGCAGGUUAAUACCCCGCUGUUCUGACGGUACCCAAAGAAUAAGCACCGGCUAACUUCGUG
rnacentral:rRNA from 1 species